GACGAACGCUGGCGGCGUGCCUAAUACAUGCAAGUAGAACGCUGAAGGAGGAGCUUGCUUCUCUGGAUGAGUUGCGAACGGGUGAGUAACGCGUAGGUAACCUGCCUGGUAGCGGGGGAUAACUAUUGGAAACGAUAGCUAAUACCGCAUAAGAGUAGAUGUCGCAUGACAUUUGCUUAAAAGGUGCAAUUGCAUCACUACCAGAUGGACCUGCGUUGUAUUAGCUAGUUGGUGAGGUAACGGCUCACCAAGGCAACGAUACAUAGCCGACCUGAGAGGGGGAUCGGCCACACUGGGACUGGGACACGGCCCAGACCCCUUCGGGAGGCAGCAGUAGGGAAUCUUCGGCAAUUGACGGAAGUCUGACCGGGCAACGCCGCGUGAGUGAAGGAGGGUUUCGGAUCGUAAAGCUCUGUUGUAAGAGAAGAACGAGUGUGAGAGUGGAAAGUUCACACUGUGACGGUAUCUUACCAGAAAGGGACGGCUAACUACGUG
rnacentral:rRNA from 1 species